UAUUUCUUUUAAGUUUGUACAUGUUAUGAUUGCAUAUUUAUGAUCUUUUUUCGUUGGAUGUAGGGAUUGAGACAAGCAGUUGCUGAAUUUUUUCCAAACUCAUGGCAUAGAUAUUGUGAAAUCUUCUGUAAGUGCAUCACAAACUUCAUUUAAAGAAGUAACUCAAGAUCAUGCUUUAGUACAAGCAAGAGCAAAGUCAAAAAUUGAAGCUAGACGAGCAAAGAAGAUUGCCAGGUCAGGCGGAAUUUCUAGCAAUC